AUUGAACGCUGGCGGCAGGCCUAACACAUGCAAGUCGAACGAGUGGCGGACGGGUGAGUCAUGUCUGGGAAACUGCCCGAUGGGGGGGGAUAACUACUGGAACCGGUAGCUAAUACCGCAUACCAUCGGAGGUGCCCAGAUGGGAUUAGCUAGUAGUUGGGGUAACGGCUCACCUAGGCGACGAUCCCUAGCUGGUCUGCGAGGAUGACCAGCCACACGGGAACGGAGACACGGUCCAGACUCCUACGGGAGGAAGCAGUGGGGAAUAUUGCACAAUGGGCGAAAGCCUGAUGAAGCAAUGCCGCGUGUAUGAAGAAGUCCUUCGGGUUGUAAAGUACUUUCAGCGAGGAGGCGGUACUCGCAGAAGAAGCGCCGGCUAACUCCGUGCCAGCAGCCGCGGUAAUAC
rnacentral:rRNA from 1 species